rnacentral:rRNA from 1 species
CGUAGGUGGCAAGCGUUGUCCGGAAUUAUUGGGCGUAAAGGGCGCGUAGGCGGUACCUUAAGUCAGGUGUGAAAACCCGAGGCUUAACUUCGGAGGUGCAUUUGAAACUGGGGAACUAGAGUGCAGGAGAGGUAAGUGGAAUUCCUAGUGUAGCGGUGAAAUGCGUAGAUAUUAGGAGGAACACCAGUGGCGAAGGCGACUUACUGGACUGUAACUGACGCUGAGGCGCGAAAGCGUGGGGAGCAAACAGGAUUAGAUACCCUGGUAGUCCACGCUGUAAACGAUGGAUACUAGGUGUGGGAGGUAUCGACCCCUUCCGUGCCGCAGUAAACGCAAUAAGUAUCCCGCCUGGGGAGUACGGCCGCAAGGUUG